GAUGAACGCUGGCGGCGUGCCUAAUACAUGCAAGUCGAGCGAACGGACGAGGAGCUUGCUCCUCUGACGUUAGCGGCGGACGGGUGAGUAACACGUGGAUAACCUACCUAUAAGACUGGGAUAACUUCGGGAAACCGUAGCUAAUACCGGAUAAUAUAUUGAACCGCAUGGUUCAAUAGUGAAAGACGGUUUUGCUGUCACUUAUAGAUGGAUCCGCGCUGCAUUAGCUAGUUGGUAAGGUAACGGCUUACCAAGGCAACGAUGCAUAGCCGACCUGAGAGGGUGAUCGGCCACACUGGAACUGAGACACGGUCCAGACUCCUACGGGAGGCAGCAGUAGGGAAUCUUCCGCAAUGGGCGAAAGCCUGACGGAGCAACGCCGCGUGAGUGAUGAAGGUCUUCGGAUCGUAAAACUCUGUUAUUAGGGAAGAACAUAUGUGUAAGUAACUGUGCACAUCUUGACGGUACCUAAUCAGAAAGCCACGGCUAACUACGUG
rnacentral:rRNA from 1 species